rnacentral:rRNA from 1 species
GAUGAACGCUGGCGGCGUGCCUAAUACAUGCAAGUCGAGCGAACAGACGAGGAGCUUGCUCCUCUGACGUUAGCGGCGGACGGGUGAGUAACACGUGGAUAACCUACCUAUAAGACUGGGAUAACUACGGGAAACCGGAGCUAAUACCGGAUAAUAUAUUGUACCGCAUGGUUCAAUAGUGAAAGACGCAUUUGCUGUCAUUUAUAGAUGGAUCCGCGCCGCAUUAGCUAGUUGGUAAGGUAACGGCUUACCAAGGCAACGAAGCGUAGCCGACCUGAGAGGGUGAUCGGCCACACUGGAACUGAGACACGGUCCAGACUCCUACGGGAGGAAGCAGUAGGGAAUCUUCCGCAAUGGGCGAAAGCCUGACGGAGCAACGCCGCGUGAGUGAUGAAGGUCUUCGGAUCGUAAAACUCUGUUAUUAGGGAAGAACAAAUGUGUAAGUAACUAUGCACGUCUUGACGGUACCUAAUCAGAAAGCCACGGCUAACUACGUG